GACGAACGCUGGCGGCAUGCCUAAUACAUGCAAGUCGAGCGAACGGAUGAAGUGCUUGCACUUCUGACGUUAGCGGCGAACGGGUGAGUAACACGUAAGGAAUCUACCUAUAAGCGGGGGAUAACAUUUGGAAACAGAUGCUAAUACCGAAUAAAACUCAGUGUCACAUGACACAAAGUUAAAAGGCGCUUUGGCGUCACCUAGAGAUGGAUCCGCGGUGCAUUAGUUAGUUGGUGGGGUAAAGGCCUACCAAGACAAUGAUGCAUAGCCGAGUUGAGAGACUGAUCGGCCACAUUGGGACUGAGACACGGCCCAAACUCCUACGGGAGGCUGCAGUAGGGAAUCUUCCACAAUGGGCGAAAGCCUGACGGAGCAACGCCGCGUGUGUGAUGAAGGCUUUCGGGUCGUAAAGCACUGUUGUAUGGGAAGAACAGCUAGAAUAGGGAAUGAUUUUAGUUUGACGGUACCAUACCAGAAAGGGACGGCUAAAUACGGGCCAGCCGCCGCAGUAA
rnacentral:rRNA from 1 species